UCGAGCUAUGUAAAGUUAAUAGCCAAAGACAGAUCAUUCCUUUGCAAUUGGAAAGUUUGAGUCCCAAUCAGAUUCAUUCAACUAAUGCACUGGGGAGAUCUGCCCUUUAUAUUCGCCCGAAGGUUGACCAUGCCUCUGCAAGUGUCCCCACUGGAAGUGGCAGCCAUGCAGCCCACGGCUCUGGAAGUGUCCCCACAGUCCACACAAACACAAUCCAAGUAGAGGACUUCUACUUAGACUCAUCAGAGUCUGACAUUGAAGAAAUAACCCUGGCUUCUCCAGUCAGGAGUAAUAGUCCAAUCCUUGAGCGAGAGCUAACAGCAAUUCUACAGGAGUUUCGUGAGGACAACCUAGACUUGUCUUGCCACAUAACUGUCAUAGCAAGACAAAAGAAUAUUCUACAGAGUGCAUGUG